rnacentral:misc_RNA from 1 species
CGAAAUGCGAUAAGUAAUGUGAAUUGCAGAAUUCAGUGAAUCAUCGAAUCUUUGAACGCACCUUGCGCUCCUUGGUAUUCCUUGGAGCAUGCCUGUUUGAGUAUCAUGAAAUCUUCAAAGUAAAUCUUUUGUUAACUCAAUUGGUUUCUACUUUGGUAUUGGAGGUCUUUGCAGCUUCACACCUGCUCCUCUUUGUUCAUUAGCUGGAUCUCAGUGUUAUGCUUGGUUCCACUCGGCGUGAUAAGUUAUCUAUCGCUGAGGACACUGUAAAAGGUGGCCAAGGUAAAUGCAGAUGAACCGCUUCUAAUAGUCCAUUGACUUGGACAAUACUUUUAUGAUCUGAUCUCAAAUCAGGUAGGACUACCCGCUGAACUUAAGC